rnacentral:rRNA from 1 species
AUGAACGCUAGCUACAGGCUUAACACAUGCAAGUCGAGGGGAAACGACAUCGAAAGCUUGCUUUUGAUGGGCGUCGACCGGCGCACGGGUGAGUAACGCGUAUCCAACCUGCCCAUCACUUGGGGAUAACCUUGCGAAAGUAAGACUAAUACCCAAUGACGUCUCUAGAAGACAUCUGAAGGAGAUUAAAGAUUUAUCGGUGAUGGAUGGGGAUGCGUCUGAUUAGCUUGUUGGCGGGGUAACGGCCCACCAAGGCGACGAUCAGUAGGGGUUCUGAGAGGAAGGUCCCCCACAUUGGAACUGAGACACGGUCCAAACUCCUACGGGAGGCAGCAGUGAGGAAUAUUGGUCAAUGGGCGAGAGCCUGAACCAGCCAAGUAGCGUGCAGGAUGACGGCCCUAUGGGUUGUAAACUGCUUUUAUAAGGGAAUAAAGUGAGUCUCGUGAGACUUUUUGCAUGUACCUUAUGAAUAAGGACCGGCUAAUUCCGUGCCAGCAGCCGCGGUAAUACGGAAGGUCCGGGCGUUAUCCGGAUUUAUUGGGUUUAAAGGGAGCGUAGGCCGGAGAUUAAGCGUGUUGUGAAAUGUAGACGCUCAACGUCUGCACUGCAGCGCGAACUGGUUUCCUUGAGUACGCACAAAGUGGGCGGUAUUCGUGGUGUAGCGGUGAAAUGCUUAGAUAUCACGAAGAACUCCGAUUGCGAAGGCAGCUCACUGGAGCGCAACUGACGCUGAAGCUCGAAAGUGCGGGUAUCGAACAGGAUUAGAUACCCUGGUAGUCCGCACGGUAAACGAUGGAUGCCCGCUGUUGGUCUGAAUAGGUCAGCGGCCAAGCGAAAGCAUUAAGCAUCCCACCUGGGGAGUACGCCGGCAACGGUGAA